rnacentral:rRNA from 1 species
GUCGUCAGCUCGUGUCGUGAGAUGUUGGGUUAAGUCCCGUAACGAGCGCAACCCUUGUCCUUAGUUACCAGCACGUUAUGGUGGGCACUCUAAGGAGACUGCCGGUGACAAACCGGAGGAAGGUGGGGAUGACGUCAAGUCAUCAUGGCCCUUACGGCCUGGGCUACACACGUGCUACAAUGGUCGGUACAGAGGGUUGCCAAGCCGCGAGGUGGAGCUAAUCCCACAAAACCGAUCGUAGUCCGGAUCGCAGUCUGCAACUCGACUGCGUGAAGUCGGAAUCGCUAGUAAUCGCGAAUCAGAAUGUCGCGGUGAAUACGUUCCCGGG